rnacentral:lncRNA from 1 species
CUCAACACUUAAGUUAUAUGAUGCGUAGAUAUGGUACUACAUGUUAAUUGUCUGAGACGUAAUGAUGUAUGUGAUUAUAGAGAAUUUACAGUUUUCAUCACAGGUUAUUUAAAUAAAACUCUGUGUGAUGUUGAGAUGCAAGUUCAAUAUAUAGCUUUAAGAGCAAGCUUUAAAGUUAUUUCGGCAUGACCACUGAGUGCUUUUUGGUACUCAGCCCUGCAUAUGUUUCUAAAUAUGCAGGUUAAGCUGUGGUGCAGAUGGAAGCGAGCAGAGCAAAUUCUUUGAUGUAUAUGUAUUAAACCAGGCUCAGGAUUCCAUGUCUUCAUACAUGUAAUCCACAUGAAUUAUUCCGCUGCAACACUUAGUCUAUUCUACUUUAUCGAUGUGUUGUAUAUAUUUUAGAUCAAUAGCUUUGAGAAUUAUGUCACUUGAAAGUUAGACAACUUGUCGUUGUGUAUUGUAAGUUGUCUACUCAUGAGUUUUAAAAGUGAUUGCCUAUGAUUAUCCAAUAUUAAAGUAAUUCAUCGUUAAAGCGGGUUCAUUAUUAUUAUUGAAAUCUCUUUUCUUUUGCAUUUUCUUACUCCCUUUCCCAGUCACACCUUUCCCCGGCUUAACUAUACACUAGCUUAGGCCGGGCUGUGACAGAGUGGUAUCAGAGCAGGUCAUUUGCUCUGAGCCUAAAUAUUCCCUUGAGUCUAGUCUAAAUUUGAAUAUUUGGACUAGUAUGAGUA